CACGGACCGCACGAACGUUAUUCGGAAUCACUGGGCUUAAAGAGUCCGUAGGCGGCUUGUUAGGUGAGGUGUGAAAUCCCUCGGCCCAACCGAGGAAUUGCGCUUCAAACCGGCAAGCUAGAGGAGGAUAGAGGUGGGCGGAACUGAUGGUGGAGCGGUGAAAUGCGUUGAUAUCAGCAGGAACACCGGAGGCGAAGGCGGUCCACUGGGUCCUUUCUGACGCUGAGGGACGAAAGCUAGGGGAGCGAACGGG
rnacentral:rRNA from 1 species